rnacentral:rRNA from 1 species
CUCCUACGGGAGGCAGCAGUGGGGAAUAUUGGACAAUGGGCGCAAGCCUGAUCCAGCCAUGCCGCGUGGGUGAAGAAGGCCUUCGGGUUGUAAAGCCCUUUAGGUGGGGAGGAAGGCAUUCAUGCUAAUACCAUGGAUGAUUGACGUUACCCACAGAAUAAGCACCGGCUAACUCCGUGCCAGCAGCCGCGGUAAUACGGAGGGUGCAAGCGUUAAUCGGAAUUACUGGGCGUAAAGCGCACGUAGGCGGUUUGACAAGUGGGAUGUGAAAGCCCUGGGCUCAACCUGGGAACUGCAUCCCAAACUGUCAGGCUAGAGUAUGGUAGAGGGGGGCGGAAUUCCCGGUGUAGCGGUGAAAUGCGUAGAGAUCGGGAGGAACAUCAGUGGCGAAGGCGGCCCCCUGGACUGAUACUGACGCUGAGGUGCGAAAGCGUGGGGAUCAAACAGGAUUAGAUACCCUGGUAGUCCACGCUGUAAACGAUGAGAACUGGCCGUCGGGCCCUUCGGGGUUUGGUGGCGUAGCUAACGCGCUAAGUUCUCCGCCUGGGGAGUACGGCCGCAAGGCUAAAACUCAAAUGAAUUGACGGGGGCCCGCACAAGCGGUGGAGCAUGUGGUUUAAUUCGAUGCAACGCGAA